rnacentral:rRNA from 1 species
UGGGUAACCUGCCUCAAAGAGGGGAAUAGCCUCCCGAAAGGGGAGAUUAAUACCGCAUAAUAUGUUUUAAUCGCAUGAUUUUAACAUCAAAGGAUUUUCUUCGGAACUUCCACUUUGAGAUGGACCCGCGGCGCAUUAGCUAGUUGGUGAGGUAACGGCUCACCAAGGCAACGAUGCGUAGCCGACCUGAGAGGGUGAUCGGCCACAUUGGAACUGAGACACGGUCCAGACUCCGUAGGGAGG